GGCCUCCCGGUGCUUACCACGGGCUGUGGUCUUACACCACCUGUACAGAAAGAGGAGGAAGAAUGGACCCACCCCAUAUACACCUUGGCCCAGGCCCUCUGCCUGGUCUGUGUUGUGAAUGGGAGAACAUGG